rnacentral:sRNA from 1 species
GGACAUUGCGCAGGAAGCGCCAAAGACAAUACGGAAACUCAGGGAAUCCACCAUGGAUGGUGGCGUAGCACGGAUGUCAGGAUAGAGGUCUGCAAACCC